rnacentral:rRNA from 1 species
GAAUCUUGGACAAUGGGCGCAAGCCUGAUCCAGCCAUGCCGCGUGAGUGAUGAAGGCCCUAGGGUUGUAAAACUCUUUCGCCGAGGACGAUAAUGACGGUACUCGGAGAAGAAGCUCCGGCUAACUUCGUGCCAGCAGCCGCGGUAAUACGAAGGGGGCUAGCGUUGUUCGGAUUUACUGGGCGUAAAGCGCGUGUAGGCGGGUCGUUAAGUUGGGGGUGAAAUCCCGAGGCUCAACCUCGGAACUGCCUUCAAAACUGGCGACCUGGACUCAAGCAGAGGCAAGUGGAAUUGCGAGUGUAGAGGUGAAAUUCGUAGAUAUUCGCAGGAACACCAGUGGCGAAGGCGACUUGCUGGGCUUGUAGUGACGCUGAGACGCGAAAGCGUGGGGAGCAAAC